UUGAAAUAAACCUGAUGGGUUGUUGCUGGUUCUCUAGGGAGCAUGUGCACGCCUUGUCAUCUUUAUAUCUCCACCUGUGCACUUAUUGUAGGCCUUUUUAGGUCUAUGUUGCUUCACUUACCCCAAUGUAUGUCAAUAGAAUGUUGUGCCUAUAUAUAAUAUAUA
rnacentral:misc_RNA from 1 species